GACGAACGCUGGCGGCAUGCCUAAGACAUGCAAGUCGAACGAGACGACCUUUGGAAGACUGAGUACUUGUACGAAGUUAGAAGAAGAUCAUCGUCUAGUGGCAGACGGGUGAGUAACACGUGGGUAACCUACCUUCAAGCUGGGGAUAACGUUUGGAAACGAACGCUAAUACCGAAUAAGAUAUAGCAAUAUAUUGAAAGAAGCCUUUAAAGCUUCACUUAAAGAUGGGCCUGCGGCGUAUUAACUAGUUGGUGAGGUAAUGGCUCACCAAGGUAACGAUGCGUAGCCGAACUGAGAGGUUGGCCGGCCACAUUGGGACUGAGACACGGCCCAGACUCCUACGGGAGGCAGCAGUGGGGAAUAUUGGGCAAUGGGCGCAAGCCUGACCCAGCAACGCCGCGUGAAGGAGAAGGCUUUCGGGUUGUAAACGUUCUUUUGUUCAGGGACGAACGAAAUGACGGUACCUGACGAAUAAGCACGGCUAACUACGUG
rnacentral:rRNA from 1 species